GUCCGGGCAGAGAAACGGGAACAACGGACUGAGAAAGGCGCUGACAAAUCUGUGGAGACAAAACAAAUGUUGUCAAGGAAAAGUAAAAAGGAAAACAGCAGCAAAGCUUCCAACACAUCGCUCCUGAAGGCAGCUGGACUCACAGGUGUGUAAUGUUCAUCUGUCUGGGAAGCAGCUCGAGCAAACACUGAACCGAGGGACAAGAAGUCCUUGAAGUGCUGAAAAAAUGCAGAUAGCUGCUGUUGAAGAUCAUGCGAUACAACCAAAAGCUCCAGGACAGCAAUCAAAUGGCCAUGGAGGUUCCAGGAUUUCUUUCCAUCACUCACACCGGAGAUAAACUCACUGAGGGAGGAAGUUCAGAGGACUUAAUAAAGCGGAUUGGGAGACAUCAUUCUCUUUAUCUCUUUGCCAAACAUGAAAUCACCCCAUUACCAAACCCUGUUAUCACUGAUCCUUUACUGUAAGACUCACUGUGCUGCCGUCCAUUAUUACACAACAUCUGGACUGACACAUUCUUAACAAUACCAAAGUCAUAAAUACAGUAUGUUGUCAACACCUGCUCAUGUUCAACUAUUCCAACUUUUCAUCAUUCCUGCCUUUUUUUGUUUUGUUAAGAGGAUUUACUGACUUAUUGUUGUCGUCUCCACUCCCUGUGGAUUAAAGAUAUUGUUCAUUGUUAUCUCUGAGUGUAUCCAGUCGGAGCCCAGUGGUUAUGACACAUACUGUAAUUUUUCUGCUGGUGUUUGCUGUCUUUAUCUUCGCUCUCUGUCCAGUAAAGGUGAAAAGUCCAACAAACA